ACGGGAGGCAGCAGUGAGGAAUAUUGGUCAAUGGGCGGAAGCCUGAACCAGCCAAGUCGCGUGAAGGAUGAAGGUAUUAUGUAUUGUAAACUUCUUUAGCAGCAGAGUAAUAAGGGGGUCGUGACCCCCGAUGCAAGUAUGCUGAAAAUAAGGAUCGGCUAACUCCGUGCCAGCAGCCGCGGUAAUACGGAGGAUCCGAGCGUUAUCCGGAUUUAUUGGGUUUAAAGGGAGCGCAGGCGGCGCGUCAAGUCAGCGGUAAAAUGUCGGGGCUCAACCCCGGCCGGCCGUUGAAACUGCCGUGCUCGAGUUCGUGCGAGGAGAGCGGAAUGCGUGGUGUAGCGGUGAAAUGCAUAGAUAUCACGCAGAACGCCGAUUGCGAAGGCAGCCCUCCAGCACUGGACUGACGCUGAGGCUCGAAAGCGUGGGUAUCGAACAGGAUUAGAUACCCUGGUA
rnacentral:rRNA from 1 species